CCUACGGGGGGCUGCAGUAAGGAAUAUUGGUCAAUGGACGCAAGUCUGAACCAGCCAUGCCGCGUGAAGGAUGAAGGCCCUCUGGGUUGUAAACUUCUUUUAUUUGGGAAGAAAAAGGGGUUUUCUAUCUCACCUGACGGUACCAGAUGAAUAAGCACCGGCUAACUCCGUGCCAGCAGCCGCGGUAAUACGGAGGGUGCAAGCGUUAUCCGGAUUUACUGGGUUUAAAGGGUGCGUAGGCGGACAUGUAAGUCAGUGGUGAAAUCUCUGGGCUUAACCCGGAAACUGCCAUUGAUACUAUUGGUCUUGAAUGUCGUGGAGGUAAGCGGAAUAUGUCAUGUAGCGGUGAAAUGCUUAGAUAUGACAUAGAACACCUAUUGCGAAGGCAGCUAACUACGCGAAGAUUGACGCUGAGGCACGAAAGCGUGGGGAUCAAACAGGAUUAGAUACCCCUGUAGUC
rnacentral:rRNA from 1 species